CCCUUAGAUGUUCUGGGCCGCACGCGUGCUACACUGAGUGGAUCAGCGGGUCAGGUUGCGCGAAAGUGUUUCCUAAUCUUGAAAUCCGCUCGUGAUGGGGAUUGACGGUUGCAAUUUUCCGUCAUGAACGAGGAAUACCUUGUAAGCGCGGGUCAUCAUCCCGCGCUGAAUACGUCCCUGCCCUUUGUACACACCGCCCGUCGCUCCUACCGAUUGAGUGGUCCGGUGAAUAAUUCGGACUGCAGCACUGCUUGGUCUCCAGGCUUUGCAGCGGAAAGUUUAGUGAACCUUAUCACUUAGAGGAAGGAGAAGUCGUAACA
rnacentral:rRNA from 1 species